rnacentral:rRNA from 1 species
UGACCUAAAGGGCACCUUCGGGGAAACCAAAGUUUUUGGGUUCCGGGGGAAGUAUGGUUGCAAAGCUGGAACUUAAAGGAAUUGACGGAAGGGCACCACCAGGAGUGGAGCCUGUGGCUUAAUUUGACUCAACGCGGGGAAGCUCACGAGGCCCGGACACUGGAAGGAUUGACAGAUUGAGAGCUCUUUCUUGAUUCGGUGGGUGGUGGUGCAUGGCCGUUCUUAGUUGGUGGAGUGAUUUGUCUGGUUAAUUCCGAUAACGAACGAGACUCUGGCUUACUAAAUAGGCGGCGGAUCUUUGUAUCCGCUAUGUCUUCUUAGAGGGAUAAGGCAGCUCUAAGCUGCAUGAGAAGGGGCAAUAACAGGUCUGUGAUGCCCUUAGAUGUUCUCGGCCGCACACGCGCUACACUGAAAGAGGCAACGUGUUUGCCUGAUUCGAAAGAAUUGGGUAACCCCCUAAUCUCUUUCGUGCUGGGGAUUGAGGUUUGCAAUUAUCCUUCAUGAACGAGGAAUUCCCAGUAAGUGCGAGUCAUUAUCUCGCGCUGACUACGUCCCUGCCCUUUGUACACACCGCCCGUCGCUACUACCGAUUGAAUGAUUUAGUGAGGACUUCGGACUGAGUCCAAUGCGGCUUUCGGG